rnacentral:rRNA from 2 species
CAUAUCAUGCAAGUCGUACGCACUGGCCCAACUGAUUGAUGGUGCUUGCACCUGAUUGACGAUGGAUCACCAGUGAGUGGCGGACGGGUGAGUAACACGUAGGUAACCUGCCCCGGAGCGGGGGAUAACAUUUGGAAACAGAUGCUAAUACCGCAUAACAACAAAAGCCACAUGGCUUUUGUUUGAAAGAUGGCUUUGGCUAUCACUCCGGGAUGGACCUGCGGUGCAUUAGCUAGUUGGUAAGGUAACGGCUUACCAAGGCGAUGAUGCAUAGCCGAGUUGAGAGACUGAUCGGCCACAAUGGAACUGAGACACGGUCCAUACUCCUACGGGAGGCAGCAGUAGGGAAUCUUCCACAAUGGGCGCAAGCCUGAUGGAGCAACACCGCGUGAGUGAAGAAGGGUUUCGGCUCGUAAAGCUCUGUUGUUGGAGAAGAACGUGCGUGAGAGUAACUGUUCACGCAGUGACGGUAUCCAACCAGAAAGUCACGGCUAACUACGUGCCAGCAGCCGCGGUAAUACGUAGGUGGCAAGCGUUAUCCGGAUUUAUUGGGCGUAAAGCGAGCGCAGGCGGUUGCUUAGGUCUGAUGUGAAAGCCUUCGGCUUAACCGAAGAAGUGCAUCGGAAACCGGGCAACUUGAGUGCAGAAGAGGACAGUGGAACUCCAUGUGUAGCGGUGGAAUGCGUAGAUAUAUGGAAGAACACCAGUGGCGAAGGCGGCUGUCUGGUCUGCAACUGACGCUGAGGCUCGAAAGCAUGGGUAGCGAACAGGAUUAGAUACCCUGGUAGUCCAUGCCGUAAACGAUGAGUGCUAAGUGUUGGAGGGUUUCCGCCCUUCAGUGCCCGGAGCUAACGCAUUAAGCACUCCGCCUGGGGAGUACGACCGCAAGGUUGAAACUCAAAGGAAUUGACGGGGGCCCGCACAAGCGGUGGAGCAUGUGGUUUAAUUCGAAGCUACGCGAAGAACCUUACCAGGUCUUGACAUCUUGCGCUAACCUUAGAGAUAAGGCGUUCCCUUCGGGGACGCAAUGACAGGUGGUGCAUGGUCGUCGUCAGCUCGUGUCGUGAGAUGUUGGGUUAAGUCCCGCAACGAGCGCAACCCUUGUUACUAGUUGCCAGCAUUAAGUUGGGCACUCUAGUGAGACUGCCGGUGACAAACCGGAGGAAGGUGGGGACGACGUCAGAUCAUCAUGCCCCUUAUGACCUGGGCUACACACGUGCUACAAUGGACGGUACAACGAGUCGCAAGCUCGCGAGAGUAAGCUAAUCUCUUAAAGCCGUUCUCAGUUCGGACUGUAGGCUGCAACUCGCCUACACGAAGUCGGAAUCGCUAGUAAUCGCGGAUCAGCAUGCCGCGGUGAAUACGUUCCCGGGCCUUGUACACACCGCCCGUCACACCAUGGGAGUUUGUAACGCCCAAAGUCGGUGGCCUAACCUUUAUGGAGGGAGCCGCCUAAGGCGGGACAGAUGACUGGGGUAA